rnacentral:rRNA from 1 species
UAAAAAGUACCCGCUGAACUUAAGCAUAUCAAUAAGCGGAGGA